rnacentral:rRNA from 1 species
GCCAGCAGCCGCGGUAAGUACGUAGGGUGCAAGCGUAAUCGGAAUACUGGCGGUAAAGGGUGCGCAGGCGGUUCUGUAAGUCAGAUGUGAAAUCCCCGGGCUCAACCUGGGAACUGCGUUUGAAACUGCAGAGCUAGAGUGCAGCAGAGGGAGGUGGAAUUCCAUGUGUAGCAGUGAAAUGCGUAGAGAUAUGGAAGAACAUCGAUGGCGAAGGCAACCUCCUGGGCUAGCACUGACGCUCAUGCACGAAAGCGUGGGGAGCAAACAGGAUUAGAUACCCUGGUAGUCCACGCCCUAAACUAUGUCAACUAGUUGUCGGGUCUUAUUAGACUUGGUAACGUAGCUAACGCGUGAAGUUGACCGCCUGGGGAGUACGGUCGCAAGAUUAAAAACUCAAAGGAAUUGACGGGGAC